AAUAGAUACCCUGGUAGUCCACGCCCUAAACGAUGUCAACUGGUUGUUGGGGAUUUACUUCCUCAGUAACGAAGCUAACGCGUGAAGUUGACCGCCUGGGGAGUACGGCCGCAAGGUUAAAACUCAAAGGAAUUGACGGGGACCCGCACAAGCGGUGGAUGAUGUGGUUUAAUUCGAUGCAACGCGAAAAACCUUACCCACCUUUGACAUGGUCGGAAUCCUGCAGAGACGCAGGAGUGCUCGCAAGAGAGCCGACACACAGGUGCUGCAUGGCUGUCGUCAGCUCGUGUCGUGAGAUGUUGGGUUAAGUCCCGCAACGAGCGCAACCCUUGCCAUCAGUUGCUACGAAAGGGCACUCUGAUGGGACUGCCGGUGACAAACCGGAGGAAGGUGGGGAUGACGUCAAGUCCUCAUGGCCCUUAUAGGUGGGGCUACACACGUCAUACAAUGGCUGGUACAAAGGGUUGCCAACCCGCGAGGGGAGCCAAUCCCACAAAGCCAGUCGUAGUCCGGAUUGCAGGCUGCAACUCG
rnacentral:rRNA from 1 species